CAGCCGCCGCGGUAAUACGAAGGGGGCUAGCGUUGCUCGGAAUUACUGGGCGUAAAGGGCGCGUAGGCGGAUGUUUAAGUCAGAGGUGAAAGCCCAGGGCUCAACCUUGGAACUGCCUUUGAUACUGGACAUCUUGAGUGUGGGAGAGGUGAGUGGAACUCCGAGUGUAGAGGUGAAAUUCGUAGAUAUUCGGAAGAACACCAGUGGCGAAGGCGACUCACUGGCCCAUUACUGACGCUGAGGCGCGAAAGCGUGGGGAGCAAACAGGAUUAGAUACCCCCGUAGUCCCUGUCUCUUAUAC
rnacentral:rRNA from 1 species